rnacentral:rRNA from 1 species
GAUGAACGCUAGCGAUAGGCCUAACACAUGCAAGUCGAGGGGCAGCAUAGAGUAGCAAUACUUUGAUGGCGACCGGCGCACGGGUGAGUAACACGUAUGCAACCUACCUACAUCAGGGGAAUAACCCGGAGAAAUUCGGACUAAUACCGCAUAAUACAGGGAUGCCGCAUGGCAAUAUUUGUUAAAGAUUUAUCGGAUGUAGAUGGGCAUGCGUUCCAUUGGCUAGUUGGUAAGGUAACGGCUUACCAAGGCAACGAUGGAUAGGGGAACUGAGAGGUUUGUCCCCCACACUGGGACUGAGACACGGACCAGACUCCUACGGGAGGCAGCAGUGAGGAAUAUUGGUCAAUGGACGAGAGUCUGAACCAGCCAAAUCGCGUGAAGGAAGACUGCCCUACGGGUUGUAAACUUCUUUUGUACAGGAAUAAAAGACAUUACGUGUAAUGUAUUGCAUGUACUGUACGAAUAAGCAUCGGCUAACUCCGUGCCAGCAGCCGCCGUAA